UACGUAGGGUGCAAGCGUUGUCCGGAUUGACUGGGCGUAAAGCGCACGCAGGCGGAUGCGCGCGUGGGGUGUGAAAUCUGGCCGCUUAACGGCCAGGCGCCAUCCCAUACGGCGCGUCUGGAGUGAUGCAGAGGUCGAUGGAAUUGCCGGUGUAGUGGUGGAAAUGCGUAGAGAUCGGCAGGAACACCCAGGGGGAAACCAGUCGGACUGGGCAUCUAGCUG
rnacentral:rRNA from 1 species